GCUCUCCGGGGUUUUGUGUUCUCUCCCAACACCUUUCUGCAUUAUCACUUUGUAUUGAGAUAAGAGUUUAAUUUUUCAAGCAAAGUAUUUGGAGACAGAAGAGGUCAGUGGUUCUGAGGGCAGAGCCGAAGGCUGUUGCUACCCUUGUUCAUGCAAGAAGCAUCAAGAUGAAGAGAGCAGCCGCUGAUCUGACAUUGGUUCUGUCAGCAGCUACGUGACUGAAUGCAGAGCAGAAAGAAGGCUCAUGUGUAAAAGAUCCCUGGUGUGUUCCCACCUCUUGGAUACUUGGCCAAUAAAGCUGAAGAGGCAUUUUAGAGUCAGAGACAGCCCUGCCACGCGGCGCACAGGUUUAUAGCUCUGGGCAAAGGUUUCAACAAAUAUGAGCUCUUCACUCCAAAGUCUCCUCUCUGUGUGCUCCUGACCUAAGAACGGUGCAUUCCUGUCUGUGGGUCUAAUCCCGGGAGCCUGGGCAGCAGAGGCAGGAGGAGUUCCGAAAGGCCUUCUCAUUGCUCUGGAGAUAAUGACCAGCUCAGCAGGCCAGUGCUUCCUGGGACACCCAUGGACGUUCUCUCUCUUUUUUUUCAAACUGAUAAUUGUGUCUGCACUGACACAGGCAGUGUCUGUGAUAACUUCCACCUGAGGGGGUAAAUGGACGGAUCAUAACCCACAGAUUUGGUGAAAACACAUUUCUUAUCUAGGAUUAGGUCUGAUAAUCUGGAACCUGCAAGUAACAUAAUAAAGUUUCUGAUUCCCUAUCUGGGAUCUGGGUACAUGACCUGGGACAUAAAUCAGAAUCUCUCAUAGCUGUAUUGCCCUGCCCCAUGCCCCACCCCUCCCAUGAAGAUCGGCCACAGGGAAGGUGCUUGAAUUCUUUCUGGCCCUAAAGAUGUCUCUGAGCAAUCUGUUUCUUUAGCAUCUCACAUAAGUAUGGCGGACACAGCAGAGAAAGCUCACCUGGGGCCCAACUACAGUGCCAUCAGACAGACAUCUGGAUUGAAGCCAAUGUCUUGCGGCGGAGUUCAGCUCUGGCACUAACCUUUGAAUGAAUCACCUAAUCUGGAAAGGGGCCAAUUGGCCUAUGGAGCACCUGAAAGUGAAACAUGAUUCCCAGAGUGGGAAAGUAUGUCUGCCUUCCAAUCUCUGAUAAGAGUCCCUGGAAAACUGAAAACCACACAAAUGCUAACAAUG